UCACUCAUUAGCAUUCCACAGCCAUGGACUAAACGCUGACAACUAACAGAGAUAUCCAGCUCUACACCACUGCAUGCAUUUUCCCCCCUUUGUCUUCUUCCCCUGGCCCUUCAUUUCCAGCGGACAGAUCUCUCGUCACAGCCAACACAUUUUUAUUUAUGCCUUCUCCACUCUUGUUGCACGAAUGGACCCCGUGCACAAGAGAGAAAACCUUCCAGUAAAGCAGAGGAGAAAAAAAAGGGAGGUGGGGGGGUGAUGUUGUAAAAGCUGUGCAGAAGUGACAGCGCUAAGCACACUGGCUUUACUUGGGAGAGAUACAAUUGUGUGUGACUUGACAAAAUAGAAGUGGGAGACGUUUUAAAUUGCAACUUUAACUGCUAUUAUUUAGAGAUUUGAAGAUAAGAAAAAAAAAAUCUACAGCCUGUGUGCUUCAUUAUGAGAAGGUAAAUGAUGAUCAUUUUAUUCCCAACUCAAUAGUAGAUCAAUAUUUUUUUUCCACUUAGUUAGGACAUUUGGCUCCAUUUAGCGUCACAAUUGCAGAAAAUGUUUGCUUUUAAAGAGUUCAUCCAAUAGUUCUGAAUUAAAGCUGUCAUUCACGGCUUCACUAUAAACUGUAGAAUAAAAUAAACAUACAGACUCAAUCAUGAUGCAAGAGCAGAAACAGUCAAAUAAAUAAAUAAACAGAUAAAUAAAUAAAAUAAGAUACAAAUCCAAAAUCUCUGAACUUGUGAAAUUAAAGCUGUGUUUUUGUAUUAGUCUACAAUUGAUUUACAUUUGGAAUAUUUUAGAAACUGGACAUAUUUUCGGAUGAAUAAAUUGAAAACUGGAAAGAUUUGAAUGAGUGAUACAGCGACUUCCAUUGACAUUACUUGGACAAGCUCCUUUUUUUCAGAUGACUAUAUCUUAAUAUGCGCUCAAGUCUUGCCCAACAAUGACAGCUGUUCAUCUGAUAGUAACUUCUUUCCAAGUUUUCUCCCCUCCCACCCCGGGGCCCCCGGUCUCUGUCUUGCUUUGUUGUUUUAAAAUAUGCAUGUCUCUCCGGAAUGCCAGUCACGGGUCCAAACUUUGUGUGUCCCAACCUCCCACAUGAUGAAAUGAUCCUUUUAAAGCGGGCUCAAUAUGUCUCAAUCUGCACUCCUCUUCCCUCUCUAAAGCUUCUGGGUUCGGGACACAGCCCAGAAAUAUAUUAAUUAAAGCGCACGAGCAUAUUACUACAGACUUUUUUAGCACAGGGGAAGAAACGGUUGGAUCAAGUGAAGAUGGAUGAAGAUUCACGGCAGGAAAAGAAAAAAAAACUCGUGUGCUGAAGAGAUGACUUCUGUGGUCCGCUGAAGUGGAUGAAAUCUUUCAAUCUGCCUCCCAAAUCCUAUAGUAAACUUGGUCCUGGGCUCCCACCGUGGCCCAGACGGGGGUAAUUUGAUAGCAAGGCAAGGUCAAGACAGUGCGCUGUCCAUGGUGCUGCGGCGGGGCAGCCUGGAUGUUAUCAUCAAAUUAGACAGGACAAGUUUCAAAUCGAUGCCACCCCCGGAUGUCUGGAGACCGCCAGCAGUCGGAGUUAAAGUCCUAACAAGUCCCCCCUGACAGAAGCGAUCAAUGGUGCAGCGCUCUCUCGUUCACCCUGAACUGGCGGUGAACUCCUGCGGAACGCCGCCAGCCUCUCCACCCUAUCCCAUCACAGUUCGGGGUCACCAGGGGGGCGUCUCUGUGCCAAUAUGCAGAUGAGACUGUGCCCCUCCAAUGACUCUGGUGGGUCUGUGGUGCGAGCCGUGCUCUGUGCUCAGGUCAUGGCACAGUUUCAGUCCAGCGCCUAACCCCUGCCCUGUGUUUGACCACUCUACGUGUGUUGUCUGAGCCUGGCGAAGCUGCCUCAUUAUGUGACAGGCAGAGGAGAGUAUUUGAUCCUGGAUAUUUAGCCUCCUCCUCUCUGUCACAGCCACUGGAGCCCUCUCAAGGUGACUCAGCGGGGGCGUGGUCUGGACAGCAGCUCAUCACCACACCUACAAUCUAUCACUCAUCAUAUGCAGUAUAUCAACACCGAUCAUGCAUCCAUUCGUUGCCAGAUUGUUCCGCUCUUCACGGCGAAGACUUCCUGAUUUGUGUGCUGCUGAUCCUGCCACACUCCGCUGUCGUCAUACCACACAAUACCACCUGCCUUUGGUCUGCAGUCAUCCCACGUGUUUCCAGAGUGUGUUCACUAACCUGCAUCUGGUCCCUAGUGUCCUCCUUACUCCUGCCUUGUGUAAUCACCAGACACCUGGAUUCCCCUGACCAAUAAAGUCCCUUACACUAUUA